GCCAGUGUGGUGUAGUGGUUUUGAGUGCUGGACUACAAUUCUGGAGACUAGGGUUUGAAUCCCUGCUUGGACA
rnacentral:tRNA from 1 species